GAACUGAAGAGUUUGAUCAUGGCUCAGAUUGAACGCUGGCGGCAGGCCUAACACAUGCAAGUCGAGCGGAUGAAGGGAGCUUGCUCCUGGAUUCAGCGGCGGACGGGUGAGUAAUGCCUAGGAAUCUGCCUGGUAGUGGGGGAUAACGUCCGGAAACGGGCGCUAAUACCGCAUACGUCCUGAGGGAGAAAGUGGGGGAUCUUCGGACCUCACGCUAUCAGAUGAGCCUAGGUCGGAUUAGCUAGUUGGUGGGGUAAAGGCCUACCAAGGCGACGAUCCGUAACUGGUCUGAGAGGAUGAUCAGUCACACUGGAACUGAGACACGGUCCAGACUCCUACGGGAGGCAGCAGUGGGGAAUAUUGGACAAUGGGCGAAAGCCUGAUCCAGCCAUGCCGCGUGUGUGAAGAAGGUCUUCGGAUUGUAAAGCACUUUAAGUUGGGAGGA
rnacentral:rRNA from 1 species